rnacentral:rRNA from 1 species
AGAGUUUGACCCUGGCUCAGAACGAACGCUGGCGGCAUGCCUAACACAUGCAAGUCGAACGAAGUCUUCGGACUUAGUGGCGCACGGGUGAGUAACAUGUGGGAAUCUACCUAAAGGUUCGGAACAACUUCGGGAAACUGAAGCUAAUACCGGAUGUGUCCGCAAGGAGAAAGAUUUAUCGCCUUUAGAUGAGCCCGCACCGGAUUAGUUUGUUGGUGAGGUAAGAGCUCCACCAAGACUACGAUCUAUAGCUGAUUUGAGAGGAUGAUCAGCCACACUGGGACUGAGAUACGGCCCAGACUCCUACGGGAGGCAGCAGUGGGGAAUAUUGGACAAUGGGGGAAACCCUGAUCCAGCAAUGCCGCGUGAGUGAAGAAGGCCUUCGGGUUGUAAAACUCUUUCAUCAAUGAAGAUAAUGACAUUAAUUGAAGAAGAAGCUCCGGCUAACUUCGUGCCAGCAGCCGCGGUAAUACGGAGGGGGCUAGCGUUGUUCGGAAUUACUGGGCGUAAAGCGUAUGUAGGCGGAUCAAAAAGUU